AUUGAACGCUGGCGGCAGGCCUAACACAUGCAAGUCGAGCGGUAGAGAGGAGCUUGCUCCUCUUGAGAGCGGCGGACGGGUGAGUAAUGCCUAGGAAUCUGCCUGGUAGUGGGGGAUAACGUUCGGAAACGGACGCUAAUACCGCAUACGUCCUACGGGAGAAAGCAGGGGACCUUCGGGCCUCGCGCUAUCAGAUGAGCCUAGGUCGGAUUAGCUAGUUGGUGAGGUAAUGGCUCACCAAGGCGACGAUCCGUAACUGGUCUGAGAGGAUGAUCAGUCACACUGGAACUGAGACACGGUCCAGACUCCUACGGGAGGCAGCAGUGGGGAAUAUUGGACAAUGGGCGAAAGCCUGAUCCAGCCAUGCCGCGUGUGUGAAGAAGGUCUUCGGAUUGUAAAGCACUUUAAGUUGGGAGGAAGGGCAGUAAAUUAAUACUUUGCUGUUUUGACGUACCGACAGAAUAAGCACCGCA
rnacentral:rRNA from 1 species